GACAGAGGGUGCAAACGUUGUUCGGAAUUAUUGGGCGUAAAGGGCAGGUAGGUUGUCUCGUAAGUCAACUGUGAAAUCCCCGAGCUUAACUCGGGAAGUGCGGUUGAUACUGCGAGACUAGAGUGCUGGAGGGGUUCGUGGAAUUCCCGGUGUAGUGGUGGAAUGCGUAGAUAUCGGGAGGAACACCAGUGGCGAAGGCGGUUGCCUGGAGCUUUGCUGACGCUGAGGCGCGAAAAGCGUGGGGGAGCGAUCCGG
rnacentral:rRNA from 1 species